GAAUUGGUAAGAAGUCAAAGGACACAUCAGAAGCCAAAAGAGAAGCUGUGGAGGGGAUCAGCAGGAUGAUCUGUACUACAAAGAGCCAAAACAGCACUCUCAGUGUUGUAAUUGAUGGCCAUGAAUGGACGGGUGUGAAAUUCUUCCAGCUGUCCUCCCAGUGGCAGACACACAUCAAGCACUUCCCUGUGGCAAUAUUUGGACAUGUGGAAACAGCCUGCUAGCAGAACAAAUAGAGAGCACACGAGUUUUGUCUUCAGAGGUCUCUUCAUCAAUUUGUUGGCCGGUGCGCACAUUUUAUUCUUGUAAAAAAGGGGGAACUCAUGCUCUAGGUGUGGGUAUUCAUGCAUCAGAUGCAUUGAAGCUUAGGUUAAAUCUUGGACAUAAAUCCACAAUGUUGUCCGUUGUGUAUCGCCUUUGCAUUGUACCAUAUAAAUACCUAACAGAGAUUGAAGGAGGGUUUUUUUUUCAUACGGUUCAAGUGUUCCAGAUUGCAUUAUCUUACAGCUCACUAAAAUGAACUUCAAUUUAAGAAGUUACAUUUAACAAGUUUUCCAUUAUUCAGAGAAGGGUGUUUCUCAUUUCACCAGUGUUUGGGGGAAUACAUUUCAUUGUUGAAAAUUGGAUUUCAUUACCCAAAGGAAUUUUUUUUUUUUUUUUUUUUUUUUUUUUUUUUGCAUAUUGUACUUUGCUACCCACAUUUAUUGUUGUCAUUCUCUUCCUAGGUGCAAUGAGAUUACCUGAAUAAUUGUAGUAAAACCAUUAUAUAUGAUAUGAAACUGUUUUUUAACUGACCAAUCAUACUCUCCACUGUACUGGCUGUACUAUUGUUAGAAUGUGUAAAAAUUAUAUAUACAUGUAUUGAACUCCUGGUCAGUGUUCAGCUUAUUCCUGUUAAACAGGCUGAUCUUUAGUUGACUUUGUAACAAGUUUUUAUAUGUGCCAAAACAAUGUGUAACAUGACUAAAAUAGCUACUGAUAACAAAUAUGGAUAGACAAAAUGUAUGGGUUGGUUUUAAUAGGUUCCCCUAUUUUCUGUUUGCUAAGUAGGUUUUUAUUGGUGCUCUAGCAUUUGUUGGUGAGCAAGCAGAGAGCUGAUGAUGUGUACGGUGCUCCACAGAUUACAGUAACCUGUAACAUUUUGCUGAUUUGUAUGUGAAUAGUGCUUUCUAUAGGUCUGAACUGAAAAGCUCCACUUCUGACUGGUGGCCAGCUGCUGUAGAUGGCUGCAGUGUGCCUUUUUUUAUGUCACAGUUAUUUACUUUUGUCCAGAGUUGAAUUACUAGCUGAACCAUUUCUCUCUCUCUCUCUCUCUCUCUUCAGUACUUUUUGCACAUUCUGAAACAACGCUCAUUUAUUAGAAUAAGAAAUAUUGUCUGAUUCUUAUUGGUCUAUCUUUGAUAUUUUCACAUUUUAGACAAUUUGGUUGUGAUGUUUGAAAUCUUUCAGUAUGUGUUGGCAUUUUAA